rnacentral:rRNA from 1 species
AGAGUUUGAUCCCGGCUCAGAAUCAACGCUGGCGGCGCGCCUAACACAUGCAAGUCGAACGAGAAAGUGGAGCAAUCCAUGAGUACAGUGGCGUACGGGUGAGUAACACGUGGAUGAUCUACCUCUUUGUGGGGAAUAACCGAGGGAAACCUUGGCUAAUACCGCAUAAUCCCGAGAGGGGAAACGCGAAAGCGGCAGAGAGAGGAGUCCGCGGCCGAUUAGCUAGUUGGUAGGGUAAAAGCCUACCAAGGCAAAGAUCGGUAGCCGGCCUGAGAGGGCACACGGCACACUGGCACUGAAACACGGGCCAGACUCCUACGGGAGGCAGCAGUGGGGGAUCUUGCACGAUGGGGAAACCCUGAUGCAGCGACGCCGCGUGAGCGAUGAAGGCCUUCGGGUUGUAAAGCUCUUUCGGCAGGGAAGAUUAUGACGGUACCUGCAGAAGCAGCUGCGGCUAACUACGUGCCAGCAGCCGCGGUAAUACGUAGGCAGCAAGCGUUGUUCGGAGUUACUGGGCGUAAAGGGUGUGUAGGCGGUGAUUUAAGUUUGGUGUGAAAUCUCCCGGCUCAACUGGGAGGGUGCGCCGAAUACUGAAUGACUUGGAGUGCGGGAGAGGAAAGUGGAAUUCCUGGUGUAGCGGUGAAAUGCGUAGAUAUCAGGAGGAACACCGGUGGUGUAGACGGCUUUCUGGACCGUAACUGACGCUGAGACACGAAAGCGUGGGUAGCAAACAGGAUUAGAUACCCUGGUAGUCCACGCCCUAAACGAUGCAUAUUUGGUGUGGGCAGUUCAUUCUGUCCGUGCCGGAGCUAACGCGUUAAAUAUGCCGCCUGGGGAGUACAGUCGCAAGGCUGAAACUCAAAGGAAUUGACGGGGGCCCGCACAAGCGGUGGAGCAUGUGGUUCAAUUCGACACACGCGAAGAACCUUACCUGGGCUCGAACGGCUGUCAACGGCAGUGGAAACAUUGCUACCCCGCAAGGGGGUCCAGUCGAGGUGCUGCAUGGCUGUCGUCAGCUCGUGUCGUGAGAUGUUGAGUUAAGUCCCGCAACGAGCGCAACCCCUGUCCUGUUUUGCCAUCAUUCAGUUGGGAACUCGCAGGAGACCGCCAGCGAUAAGUUGGAGGAAGGUGGGGAUGACGUCAAGUCCUCAUGGCCUUUAUGUCCAGGGCUACACACGUGCUACAAUGGCCGGUACAAUACGUCCCAAACCCGCGAGGGGGAGGCAAUCG